CUACGGGGGGCUCCAGUGAGGAAUAUUGCACAAUGGGGGGAACCCUGAUGCAGCAACGCCGCGUGGAGGAUGACGCAUUUCGGUGUGUAAACUCCUUUUAUAUGUCAAGAAAAUGACGGUAGCAUAUGAAUAAGCACUGGCUAACUCCGUGCCAGCAGCCGCGGUAAUACGGAGGGUGCAAGCGUUACUCGGAAUCACUGGGCGUAAAGGACGCGUAGGCGGGUUGGAAAGUCAGGUGUGAAAUCCUACAGCUUAACUGUAGAACUGCACUUAAAACUUCUAAUCUAGAGUAUGGGAGGGGGAGAUGGAAUUAGUGGUGUAGGGGUAAAAUCCGUAGAUAUCACUAGGAAUACCUAAAGCGAAGGCGAUCUCCUGGAACAUUACUGACGCUAAGGCGUGAAAGCGUGGGGAGCAAACAGGAUUAGAUACCCGCGUAGUC
rnacentral:rRNA from 1 species